UCAAUCCCCUUCCCGCCGACGGCGAGCCCCGCGCGCGUCGUCCCCACCCGGCCACCCGACGCAAACUCCCGACCGCAUCGCCGUCACCGGAAAGCAACAUGCCACCCUCCGCAUGUCCUCGUGCUCCUUCACUUCUUCCGCCGCUCCAUUCCACUCCCACUUCGCAUCCUCGCGCCCCGCAACACGGACUCCAACCGACGAGCCAUGGCCCCCGCCGACGCCGGAGACUUCCUCUUAGAUGAGGACGACGAAGAUUUCUUCGGUGAGUACAAUCCUCACCCAUACCGCGGCGGCUACGACCUUGCCGCCACCUUCGGCACCCCUCUUCCGCCUUCCGCCAAAACUUGCUACCCCGUCUCCUCCUCUGCCGCCGCCACCGUCCCCACUGUCCCCUCGCCGCCUUCACCCACACCGGAGCCGGCGGAUCCUCCGCCGGAGGAACCUUAUGGCGAUGAGGAAGCUCCGUGGAAGCCGGUGCACGAAUCCUCGGAGGUGUUUCCAAACGGGGCAGCUACGAAAGGUAAGGGGCGGAGGGGCAGGCGGCGCGGACGCGGCUUCUGGAAGAAGUGCGUGCGGGUGUUGGAUUACGUAUUCGGCUACAAGGACCCGUAUGUGGAGCAGCGGAUUGGGGUGGACAGCUACGUCGUUCCGGUUUAUGCGAACAGGAAGGAAAGUGAGGAGGAUGCCUUGGCCGUGGAGGUUGAGGUGCCGCCACCGUCCGUGGGAAGAGUGGAGCCGCACGAUGGCAGCGAGGAGCUGGUUCAUGGCAAUUGUACAGAUGGUUUCUUCCAGACUACAGUAUAUGGGAAACUUAGCUCGAAUUUUGUGUUCGUUUUAGAGGACUUAUCUUGGCAUAGUACUUACAAAGAUGAUGCCUAUACUACUUAUAUGUCUAAUUUGUACUAUACGCCUUCUUUUGCACAAUCUUAUGGCCUUCCUGAAGUUUUGGGCAAGCCAGAUUGGUUUCCAAAUCUCAGCUACUCCGAGUCUCAUCCAGUAGAGGAAUUUCAGCACGAGUCGUUGUUAUCCUACGAUGUUGAGCACAUGAUCUCUGGUCAACCUGUUCAUUGUUAUUACCAUCAUUGCUAUAAACAACCAUUAAAUGUCCAGCAUCUGUCAACAUAUUUUGGCCAAAGUGAUGGCGACACUUUGGAAACUCCAGCACAUGCAUACAACAUUCAGUCCUAUAUGCCAAUCUCUGACAUGCCAAUCGAACCUUUUAAGCCAUCAUGGUCUCAGAAUUGGGGCCUUUCUGAUGCCUAUACGCCAGGGGAUGCUCCUGAAAACGAUGCACAUCCUCUAAUCUCUGGUGAAUAUGGAUCCGUCGGAAGCUUGUUCUUUUCCCCCUUCUAUCCUAGAGAGACAGAAGCAUUUGAGUGGGCCCCUAGUGAUGUGCAUGCAUCCUUCCAGCACAAUUGGCAGAAUUCAACCUACCAGAAUGUGUCCAUGGAUGGUGUUUCUCCAAUCUCUCAACAGGUUAUUGAACUGUCCUCCAGAAGUCCAUUCAAGAGGAAUGGAAGGGGUCAAACUUGAAGAGGUUUAUCAUUCUCCAUAGUCCACACAGAAGUCAGAACACAUUCUAAUGCUCGGGUGACAAUGCCUUUCCCCCUUGGACUGCAGUGAAUGCUACCGCCGUCCACAACCAAAAGAUACCUGACAACCGGAAGCUCAUCCUAUCUGUAUGCAGGAGAAACGGAGGUGAUGACAAGGCCGAUCCCUGCCCGGAAAUUCCGGCUGUGACGAAGAAGAAUCCAACUGGUGGCCACAUGGGAAAGCGAAGGGAGGCUUGCCGUUUGCUCCGCUCCGUUUCCGCCGUCCUUCUGCCAAGUUCCCAGUGAGUGACCCACGCGCGCGCAAAAGAAAAGGUUGCCCGUUUGGAAGCAUAUGGCCUGUGCCCGUGUCGCCUCCGCUGCUCCGUGGAUCGCAGGCAGCAGAAGCCACACUGCACAUGCAGAUGCAGGUCAGCAGCUGCUCUGCUGGCUACUUGCAGACAUACGAUCAAAGUGACGGUACAGCGGUGAUGGGCUCGCAUGUUCUGUCCUUGGGCUUUUCAGAACAAUGGUUAAAGACGGCUGCUUCCAUAACACCCGCCUGUUCAUCAUUGAACAUUACAGAAGAAUUUCCCAAGCGCAGAGCAAGUCAACCAAAGAUAGAUGCGAAUCUGCAACGCACAGCAGCGAAGAACACCAUACCUGCCAACCCCCUGAACUGUGUGUAUCACCGAACAACAGCGUAGACAUUCCUUGAUGGCAAAUAAAGUCAUCAAGGCAUGUUGAUGGCAAAAGCUUCGAGUGCAGAGACUUUAGUGCCUACCGACGCUGGUGCAAUUGACUUCAUCGCUCAUGGCUUGGGGACGACUCAUUGGAGCGAAGGAGGGAGAGAUUAGUUCCCUCUGCUCUGCUCACUUCCUUCACUCCAACCAUCUCAUCUCUCAACUAAAGUCUCACAAGCUUCUUGCACGUGCUGUGUAGGGUGUGCAUUUUAUUAUUGUAGUUCCAAUUAAAGCUUGUAUGUGCGAUUGCUAAUGUGAGUAAUAUUGAACUUGUGAUAAUGCUACCUAGAAGAUCACAACUGAUUAUGGUAAAAAGGAAAAGGAAUACUAUUACUAGUCA